rnacentral:miRNA from 1 species
CUGCGCUUGGAUUUCGUU